rnacentral:lncRNA from 1 species
AUGAAAAAAGCACUAUUAUUAUUUGUUCUGAGAGGGGAAACAUCUGCAGACAGAACAUGGGGCUAUUAUUUUUGCAAAGGCUACAAACAUGACCAGUUUACUUCUGGAAGUGAAGACCUUAGUCAAUUUUUGGAAAGACAAAGCACAUACCUUCAGGCCAAGGCUGAAGCAGGCAUAGGACUCCAGAUCAACUGGAGACAGACAGACAACUUCUUGACACAGGUGGUGGAGGAGCCAACAAGGAGAGGUGUGCUGCUGGACCUUGUACUAACAAACAAAGAAGGACUGGUUGAAGAUGUGAAGGUCAGGGGCAGCCUUGGCUGCAGUGACCAUGAGAUGGUGGAGUUCAGGAUCCUGCGAGGAGGCAGCAGGGCACUAAGUAGGAUCGCAACCCUGGACUUCAGGAGAGCAAACUUUGGCCUCUUCAGGGACCUACCUGGAGGAAUCCCAUGGGUUAGGGCCCUAGAAGGAAGGGGCGUUCAAGAGAGCUGGUUAAUAUUCAAACAUCACUUCCUCCAGGCUCAAGAGCGGUGCAUCCCUGUGAGUAGGAAGUCAAGCAAAGGAAGUAGGAGACCUGCAUGGAUGAGCAAGGAGCUCCUGGCAAAACUCAACCAGAAGAAGGAAGUAUACAGAAAGUGGAAAGGGGGACAGGCCACUUGGGAGGAAUAUAGGAACGUUGUCAGAGUAUGCAGGGAUGUGAUGAGGAAGGCUAAGGCCCGUUUGGAAUUAAAUCUGGCGAGAGAUGUCAAGGACAGCAAGAAGGGCUUCUUCGAAUACAUCAGUAGCAAGAGGAAGACUAGGGAAAAUGUGGGCCCUUUGCUGAAUGGGGUGGGUGCCCUGGUGAUGAAGGAUGCAGAGAAGGCAGAGUUACUGAAUGCCUUCUUUGCUUCAGUCUUUACUGCUCAGGCCAGCCCUCAGGAACCCCAGACCCUGGAGGCAAGAGAGAAAGUCUGGAGAAAGGAAGACUUUCCCUUGGUCAAGGAGGAUUGGAUUAGAGACCAUUUAAGCAAACCUGACACCUACAAAUCCAUGGGCCCUGAUGGGAUGCACCCACGAGUGCUGAGGGAGCUGGCGAAUGUCAUUGCUAAGCCACUCUCCAUCAUCUUUGAAAGGUCAUGGAGAACAGGAGAGGUGCCUGAAGACUGGAAGAAAGCCAAUGUCACCCCAGUCUUCAAAAAGGGCAAGAAGGAGGACCCAGGAAACUACAGGCCAGUCAGCCUCACCUCCAUCCCUGGAAAGGUGAUGGAGCAGCUCAUCCUGGAGGCCAUCUCCAAGCAUGUGGAGGAAAAGAAGGUGAUCAGGAGUAGUCAGCAUGGCUUCACCAAGGGGAAAUCAUGCUUAACCAAUCUGAUAGCCUUCUAUGAUGGAAUGACUGGCUGGGUAGAUGAGGGGAGAGCAGUGGAUGUUGUCUACCUUGACUUCAGCAAGGCUUUUGACACUGUCUCCCAUAACAUCCUCAUAGACAAGCUCAGGAAGUGUGGGCUAGAUGAGUGGACAGUGAGGUGGAUUGAGAACUGGCUGAAUGGCAGAACUCAGAGGGAUGUGAUCAGCGAUGCAGAGUCUAGUUGGAGGCCUGUAGCUAGCGGUGUCCCCCAGGGGUCAGUACUGGGGUCCAGUCUUGUUCAACUUCUUCAUCAAUGA